GAUGAACGCUGGCGGCGUGCCUAAUACAUGCAAGUCGAGCGAACAGACGAUGAGCUUGCUCCUCUGACGUUAGCGGCGGACGUGUGAGUAACACGUGUAUACCCUACCUAUAAGACUGGUAUAACUUCGGGAAACCGGAGCUAAUACCGGAUAACAUCUUGAACCGCAUUGGUUAACGGUGAAAGACGGUCUUUCUGUCACUUAUAGAUGCAUCCGCGCGGCAUUAGCUAGUUGGUAAUGUAACGGCUUAUCAAGGCGACGAUGCGUAGCCGAGCCGAGAGGGGGAUCGCGGCCUGUGGAGCUGAGAGACGACACAGGCUCCUACGGGAGGCAGCAGUAGGGAAGCGUCGGAAAUGGGCGAAAGCUUGCAGGAGGAACGGAGCGUGAGUGAAGAAGGUCCUCGGAUCGGAAAACGCUGUUAUUAGGGAAGAACAAAUGUGUAAGUAACUAUGCACGUCUUGAGGGAACCUAAUAAGAAAGCCACGGCUAACUACGG
rnacentral:rRNA from 1 species